UACGUAGGGCGCAAGCGUUAUCCGGAAUUAUUGGGCGUAAAGAGCUCGUAGGCGGUUUGUCGCGUCUGCCGUGAAAGUCCGGGGCUCAACUCCGGAUCUGCGGUGGGUACGGGCAGACUAGAGUGCAGUAGGGGAGACUGGAAUUCCUGGUGUAGCGGUGAAAUGCGCAGAUAUCAGGAGGAACACCGAUGGCGAAGGCAGGUCUCUGGGCUGUAACUGACGCUGAGGCGCGAAAGCGUGGGGAGCAAACAGG
rnacentral:rRNA from 1 species